UCGCUGGGUGUCAUGUGGCAUAUGGCCCAU
rnacentral:sRNA from 1 species